UACGUAGGGGGCUAGCGUUGUCCGGAAUCAUUGGGCGUAAAGAGCGCGUAGGCGGCCAGAUAAGUCCGGUGUGAAAGUCACAGGCUCAACCUGUGAAUGCCGCUGGAAACUGUCUGGCUAGAGUCCGGAAGGGGCGAGUGGAGUUCCUGGUGUAGCGGUGAAAUGCGCAGAUAUCAGGAGGAACACCAAUGGCGAAGGCAGCUCGCUGGAACGGUACUGACGCUGUGGCGCGAAAGCGUGGGGAGCGAACAGG
rnacentral:rRNA from 1 species